UCGCUGACGAAGACAUGACUUUUUCCCGCUCCGUCCACGUGACCCGUCACCGCAAAACCUGCAGAUUCACAGAAGAAGAAGCACAUCACACACAGGUCGACAGAUGUUCAGAGUAAAAACACCAACAGCUGGAAGCUGCUGCUCAUCACGCAACUGAAAACACACACAGGCGGCCGUACCUUUCAGUGUGACCCAGUAGUGCCUCCACUUGCGGCGGGCGACCAGCUCCAGCUUCCUGUCCUUGUUAACAGUGAUGAGAGCUUUGAAA